rnacentral:lncRNA from 1 species
CUGUUUAACCCCGUCACACAUGUAUGUCUGUUUAACCCCCGUUCACCACACUGUAUGUUGUUUAAACCCCGUUCACACACUGUAUGUCUGUUUAACCCCCGUUCACACACUGUGUGUCUGUUUUAACCCCGUUCCACACACUGUGUGUCUGUUUAACCCCUGUUCACACACUGUAUGUCUGUUUAACCCCCGUUCACACACUGUAUGUCUGUUUAAUGUCUGUUUAACCCCGUUCACACACUGUGUGUCUGUUUAACCCCCGUUUCACACACUGUGUGUCUGUUUAACCCCCGUUCACACAAUGUUUGUCUGUUUAACCCCGUUCACACACUGUAUGUCUGUUUAACCCCCGUUCACACACUGUAUGUCUGUUUAACCCCGUUCACCACGUGCUGUUGUCUGUUUAACCCCGUUCACACACUGUGUGUCUGUUUAACCCCCGUUUCACC